CGUGUAGGCGGUUUAAUAAGUCAGAUGUAAAGGCCCCCGGCUCAACCGGGGAUGGACAUUUGAAACUGUUAGGCUUGAGUGCGAGAGAGGGUAGUGAAAUUCCCAGUGUAGCGGUGAAAUGCGUAGAUAUUGGGAAGAACACCAGUAGCGAAGGCGGCUACCUGGCUCGCAACUGACGCUGAGGCGCGAAAGCGUGGGGAGCAAACA
rnacentral:rRNA from 1 species